rnacentral:rRNA from 1 species
UAGGUCGACCCGCUGCCUUUAAGCAUAUCAAUAAGCGGAGGAAAAGAAACUAACCAGGAUUCCCUCAGUAACGGCGAGCGAAGUGGGAACAGCUCGAGCCUGAAAUCCCCGACGCCGGGCGUCGGAGAAUUGUGGCCUGGAGAGGCAGCCGUUGUCCCGGGUUUGCGCCGUCGAAGUCGGCCUGGAAAGGCGCGUCGGAGAGGGUGAGAGCCCCGUGAGCGACGCCGCGGGCCCGGGCUGCCACUGCCUUCGGAGAGUCGGGUUGUUUGGGAAUGCAGCCCAAAGUGGGUGGUAGACUCCAUCUAAAGCUAA